rnacentral:rRNA from 1 species
UACGGAGGGUGCAAGCGUUAUCCGGAAUCACUGGGCUUAAAGGGCGCGUAGGCGGGCCAUAAAGUCAGGGGUGAAAUCCUCCAGCUUAACUGGAGAACUGCCUUUGAUACUGAUGGUCUCGAGUAAGGUAGGGGCAUGCGGAACUGAUGGUGGAGCGGUGAAAUGUGUUGAUAUCAUCAGGAACUCCGGUGGCGAAGGCGGCAUGCUGGACCUUCACUGACGCUGAGGCGCGAAAGCUAGGGGAGCGAACGGG